UACAGAGACUGCAAGCGUUAUUCGGAUUCACUGGGCGUAAAGGGUGCGCAGGCGGCCGAGUGUGUGAGGCGUGAAAGCCCGGGGCUUAACCCCGGAAUUGCACCUCAAACUACACGGCUAGAGCAUUGGAGAGGGUAGCAGAAUUCAUGGUGUAGCAGUGAAAUGCGUAGAUAUCAUGAGGAAGACCAGUGGCGAAAGCGAAUCUCUGGACAGUUCCUGACGCUGAUGCACGAAGGCUAGGGGAGCAAACGGG
rnacentral:rRNA from 1 species